GAUGAACGCUAGCGCGGGCCUAACACAUGCAAGUCGAGGGGUAACAGGAAGAGCUUGCUCUUUGCUGACGACCGGCGAACGGGUGCGUAACGCGUAUGCAAUCUACCUCUAACAGGGGGAUAGCCCAGAGAAAUCUGGAUUAAUACCCCAUAACAUUUCGGUAUCGCAUGGUACUGCAAUUAAAACUACGGUGGUUAGAGAUGAGCAUGCGUCCUAUUAGCUAGUUGGUAAGGUAACGGCUUACCAAGGCAACGAUAGGUAGGGGGCCUGAGAGGGUGAUCCCCACACUGGUACUGAGACACGGACCAGACUCCUACGGGAGGCAGCAGUGAGGAAUAUUGGUCAAUGGACGGAAGUCUGAACCAGCCACGCCGCGUGCAGGAUGACUGCCCUAUGGGUUGUAAACUGCUUUUGUAUGGGAAGAAACCUCGGGACGUGUCCCGGGCUGACGGUACCAUACGAAUAAGCACCGGCUAACUCCGUG
rnacentral:rRNA from 1 species